GCGUAUAUAAACUAUGCUAUAGGCCUAUAUAUAAAUAUAAUAUUAUACUACUGUCAUGAUCCGGCCCAGGACCUUCCACUCAUCAGCCACACGAGGUCGCUCUCGCAGCACAUGGACAUUGCACUACAGCCCGAAUUAUAUUCCCCAGCUGGCACUGCAUUUGCUAAUCACACUCUCUAAUCUCUCAGUCAUACCUGCAGCUCAUCAACAUUCACACCUGCACCACAUUUACGGACCUGAAUAAAAACCACUCGCACAGUCUAUUCUGGUGCGAAAUCUUGAUUUGCUGAGUCUUUCUAUUCCAAGUGUUCUUCCCUGUUUACCUUGUCUAGUUUCCGUGUGGCUACCCUGACCUCGGACUGUUUAUCUCGUUUAUGACCAUUUUCUGCCUGCCCCGACCUCAGCCUGGAUAUCGUUUCUGCCUCUGCCUAGCCCUAAGUAUUGACUCUGUUGUUGUUUACCUGUGUUCGAUAAAACCUGCAAAUGGAUCCGCACUCCUCUGUCUUGUCCGUUACAACUACGAUGUCUCUUACAAAAAUUUACUAUGGUUUUAUUUAUUUUUUUACAUUUUGUAAUGUUUAGACUAUAUAUUUUCCCAAAUAGUGAAAUUGUUCACCAACUAAGCAUCUGAUCGCGAAUAUCUGCUCUGGUGAAAAUGUUUUGAAUGUGUUGUACCCGGUCAUUGGCGUUUGCAAUGGAGGUGUAAAUGUAUCAAGUAAGCUGUAAAUAUCACUGAUAAGUGACCCAUCGACAGACAUAUACGCGUGUCCUUUCUUCUCAGUGAUGCAAUUUAUUAUCAGCUAUGCAUGUUCUGGUAAUUGCUAACAACGGUUUCAAUUUUCGUUUAGGGCUGCAUCACCGGCAUCUUGCACAAGAAAGGCACGUGAGUGUCGUUCAGUUUUGAGUUCGCUGGAAAAAUCAUACCGAGACUGUGAAUACACCACUUUCGCUUUCACCUGCAUCUCACACAGGAAAGGUGAUGCAGGUCUCGUUCAGUUUUCAACUCCAUUCACAAUCUUAUAGAAUGUGAGAAUAACAGUGCAAAAGAACCUGUUGCAAAGAGAGCCAAAGCAAAUAAGCAGACCACUCAUGGAAAACAGAGGCUGAUGUUGACAUGGCUCCACAGGCUCUGAGAUUCCUGCCCGCACAGGAACCUGGACCACAGCUAAGACCAUGUGAUGCACACACUCCCAUGAGUCUGUUCAAAAUGUUUUUUUUCUGAAACUGCUGUGUCAACUCUGUGUCGAAACACCAAUGCUCAGGCUGCCAAGGCACGUGCAAAGGGCCAUAAAUAUAAAUGGACAGACGUCAGCAUCAGUGAGCUAUACUGCUACAUUGGGCUAUUCUUCUACAUGGACAUGGUGGAGUUGAGGUCCAUCAGAGAUUACUGGCGGCAGGAUAGUCUUUUCUCUGUUCCUUUUCCUGCCACAAUCAUGUCAAGAGACAGAUACCACACCAUUUCAUGGAAUCUGCACAUGAGUCACCCAGAUGCAGACCAGGACAAUGACAGAAAGAGGGGCACAGCUGAACACGACUGUCUUUUCAGGGUCAGACCCCUCAUGGACACUAUCCGGCAUGCAUGUAAGGCUAUCUAUCAUCCAAGAAAAAAUUUGGCAGUGGAUGAAAGAAUGGUGGCAUGCAAGGCAAACACAGGAAUGACUCCGUAAAUGAAAGCCAAGCCAACCAGGUCAGGCUUCAAGUUAUUUGCUCUUGUGGACCCAUCAAAUGGAUAUACUGUAGAUUUUGCUGUGUACACUGGAAAGAACAAUUUUCCCACAGGCCAUGGACUGUCAUAUGAUCUCUUUUGGACCAUACAGUUUUGGGCUCUGGGUACCAUGUAUACGAGUAGGUUGUACAUAGGGUGUAAGAGUGGGCUUUUACAAACCUUACACUUUUUUAUUAUUAUUUUUUUUUUAACCCUGAAUGUCUGUUUUUGCACAGUUUUGCCCUGAAUGUAUCUUCUGUACCACUAUGUGUUUUAUGUGUAAAUUCAAGUAUAUGUAAAGUAUAUUUAUAAGUAAGAUAACUCUUCCAGUAGGUUUGCUAUGUGUGGAUUUAUAUAGGUUACACAGUUACAGUGUACUCACUGACUAGAAGCAGGUAAGUUUAUUUUCUUCAGAGCACAUAAACAAACACUUUGGAAAUGGCAGGUAUGCAAUGUUCAUUUAUAUAUUUCAACAUGAUAUAUACUGUCACCAUGUUUGCUCUGUCUUUGUCAGAUCAUUGUGGCACUCACGUCCAUUUGUUUUCUCGGGCAGUUUCUGCUGUCUCAAGUUUAUUCAAGUUUCCUGCUGCUGUUUUGGAUAUUUUUGAUAUUGCACCCAUGACUCUUGUUUUUUUUUUUUUUUUUUUGUUCCUAAUAAACCAUUUAACUGCACUCAAGUUAUUUUACAUGAUAGUUAAAUAUAUUCUAAAUAAACUACAAACAAAAAAAUAUAUAAAUUAAUUUUUUUCUCCCAUUCUUUCUUGUAGCAAUUCCCUCUCUGUCAAACACCUGACCGAAAGGCUCAUUAUGGAGCUCAUUAUGUGGGUCUUUGUCUUCUCAGGUGUGACUCACAGCAUUAUUCAUGUUCAUUCACGCCUCCUCGAAUAUACCCUUUCUAAACAAUAUAUAAUAUACUGUUUUCUGUGAAUGAGUGACUAAGAUGAUUUUCACAUCAUUUUUUUUUUUUUAAGUCUUGAGAUAGUAAAGUCUCAAAAGUCUUUUGGGAACAAAUGUUCUGUAUGUGUUUUAUGGCCUUAUUUCACUGACUUUAAAAUUGUAGUUUUUCACUAAGCAUCCUGUCAGAUUGUCCAUCCUUUGAGUAAAAGCGUGUGCGGGUCGCCCAAUCUGAUUUCAUCCGUUAAAGUUAACCUUUUCAAAUAACAAUCACAGUCCUGGACAGUGCAGCUAUACCUUACAUAUGCAAUUUAAAUAGGAAUUUCUCCAGUUAUUAUUAAAAAACAAGCUAAACAGACUUCAUAGCUAGCGUUAGUGAAAGCGGUCAGUGGAAUCUUUCUGCCUCCAACAAAACUCCGCCCACAGAAAAACGUCACAAUGUUUACUAACAGAAAAAGGGUCUAUUCUGUCCACUAAAAUAAGAUAAUACAAAAAAAACAUAGCUCAUACAAAAUCAUGAUUGGCUCACUAUGCUACUUUCUGUUUCUGACACAAAGAAAGGAAGUCAAACAGUAUUUACAUGUUUUCACAUAGCUGUAUUCAUUACAGUGUAGGGGUGGGCGGUAUAACCAAAAUUCAAUUUCACGGUAUGACUCAUUUUAUUUCACGGUAACGAUAUAGUCAUUAAUAUAUGUAGUUAUUCUGAAAAUCGACAAAAAGGACUUUAUGUAAUAACUCAAAUACUUUAGAAAUUAAAAGUAGCCUACUUCACCUUGUUUGAUUUUUCUUUUUCUUUUAUUUGGCAAAUUGUUUAUUUAGUAAUAACACACUCAAUUUACAGAUUACAGUGGCAUGCAAAAGUUUGGGAACCCCUUGCACAAUCUGUGAAAAUGUGAAUAAUUUUAACAAAAUAAGAAACAUACAAAAUGCAUGUUAUUUUUUUUUUUAUUUAGUACUGUCCUGAGUAAGAUAUUUUACAUAAAAGAUGUUUACAUAUAGUCCACAAGACAAAAAAUAGCUGAAAUUAUUAAAAUUAAGCCCCUUCAAAAGUUUGGGAACCCUUGGUUCUUAAUACUGUGUGUGGUUACCUGGAUGAUCUACGACUGUUUUUUUUUUGUUUUGCAUUAAGAUGGUUGUUCAAGAGUCCCUUGUUUGUUCUGAACAGUUAGUUCAGUUAGUGAGCAGUUAGUGAGCACUGUUCUUCAGAAAAAUCCUCCAUGUCCUGCGGAGUCUUCAGUUUUCCAGCAUUAACCCUUUCCAGCAGCGACUGUAUGAUUUUAAAAUCCAUCUUUUCACACUGAGGACAAUUGAGGGUCUCAAACACAACUAUUAAAAAAAGUUCAAACUGAUGCUCCAGAAGGAAACACGAUGCAUUAAGAUGCGGGGGGUUAAAAUGUUUGGAAUUUGAAGAUCAAGGUAAAUUGUAUUUAAUUUGUCUUCUGGGAAACAUGCAAGUAUCUUCUGUUGCUUCCCGAAGAGCAAUGAAAAUGAUAUUUCAACAAAAGAAGAAAAACUUGGACAUCUUCAUCCUGUUCAAAUGUUUUCACUGCCCCCAACUGACUGACAUUAAAUGCAACUUGUAGAUGAAAUUCAACUUUAAAUAAGGCAUUUCUAUAUCAUUUUUAAAUCUUAUGUUAUUAUUUUACUUCAGUCAAUUUAUAAUAUAUAAAUAUUUUAUAUUGAAAUAUUCUGUUCAUAAUAAAUUACAUCCAGAAAACCUGCCUGUGCAGACCCCACUGUGGGUUUCCUGUGGGACAGUGCAGGCAGAGCAAACCCACACUAAACCCAUGUGGGCCCCCAUGAUGGUUUUCUGUGGGCAACC